AGCAGCCGCGGUAAUUCCAGCUCCAAUAGCGUAUAUUAAAGUUGUUGCAGUUAAAAAGCUCGUAGUUGAAUUUCGGGAUUGACACAUCGGUCGUGCCUUAAGGGGUAUGAACUGGUGUAGUCAAUUUCUCACCUUCUGGAGAACCGCGAUGCCCUUAAUUGGGUGCCGCGGGGAACCAGGACCUUUACUUUGAAAAAAUUAGAGUGUUUAAAGCAGGCAUUUUGCUUGAAUACAUUAGCAUGGAAUAAUAAAAUAGGACGGCAUGAUUCUAUUUUGUUGGUUUCUAGGAUCACCGUAAUGAUUAAUAGGGAUAGUUGGGGGCAUUAGUAUUCAAUUGUCAGAGGUGAAAUUCUUGGAUUUAUUGAAGACUAACUACUGCGAAAGCAUUUGCCAAGGAUGUUUUCAUUAAUCAAGAACGAAAGUUAGGGGAUCGAAGACGAUCAGAUACCGUCGUAGUCUUAACCAUAAACUAUGCCGACUAGGAAUCAGACGAUGUUAAUUUUUAAUGUACUCGUUUGGC
rnacentral:misc_RNA from 1 species